rnacentral:rRNA from 1 species
CUACGGGCCGCACCAGUGAGGAAUUUUGCGCAAUGGGGGAAACCCUGACGCAGCAACGCCGCGUGAGCGAAGAAGGCCCUCGGGUCGUAAAGCUCUGUCAAGUGGGAAAAAAAUCUUUUGAUCAAUAGUCAAAAGACUUGAUGGUACCACUGGAGGAAGCACCGGCGAACUCCGUGCCAGCAGCCGCGGUAAUACGGAGGGUGCAAGCGUUGUUCGGAUUUACUGGGCGUAAAGAGCGUGUAGGCGGGUUAGCAAGUCAGAUGUGAAAGCCCUGGGCUCAACCCGGGAAGUGCAUUUGAAACUGCUUCACUAGAGUAUGGGAGAGGAGAUUGGAAUUCCUGGUGUAGAGGUGAAAUUCGUAGAUAUCAGGAGGAACACCCGUGGCGAAGGCGAUUCUCUGGACCAAUACUGACGCUGAGACGCGAAAGCGUGGGGAGCAAACAGGAUUAGAUACCCCCGUAGUC